rnacentral:sRNA from 1 species
AAUCUAUCAAAUCCACACACACGUGAAUUAUUCCGUUGGCCAUUCGAAAAGAAAUUUUCGGAUUGGGGCUGGGCUGUUAGCUCAUCUCAGCUCUGGCUGCCAUAUUACUAAUUCGUUAGUAAUAUAGCAUCGGCCGUACAAACUGCCAACCAACAACCAACAAAACAAAUUAUACGGAUGCACGGCAGAGUGCCGUACAUUCACCAACCAAGACAACUCUCAACAACGGAUAUCUUGGCUCUCAGAUCGAUGAAGAACGCAGCGAAAUGCGAUACGUAGUGUGAAUUGCAGAAAUACGUGAAUCAUCGAAUCUUUGAACGCAAAUUGCGCUCGAGGCUUCGGCCAAGAGCAUGUCUGCCUCAGCGUCGGGUUAAAACUCACUCCUCCUUACCAUGGGAAAGAGUGGAACUGACCGUCUCAGCACGCAAUCGUGUGUGCUGGGUCUGUUGAAGUUUGCAGUUGCUGAUACAUGGAACUGCGUAUGGCGGGCCUCUACUGGGUAGGCAAUUAACGUUGCUGCAGUGGUUGGCUUACGUUCUGUGUUUGUCGGCACAAAACAGGACAUGCCUUUGGCAUGCAACCCUCUUUUUUCGACCUGAGCUCAGGCAAGA